rnacentral:rRNA from 1 species
AUUGAACGCUGGCGGCAGGCCUAACACAUGCAAGUCGAGCGAGCGGCGGAAGGGUGAGUAAUGUCUGGGAAAAUGCCUGACGGAGGGGGAUAACUACUGGAAACGGUAGCUAAUAACGCAUACCAUCAGAGGUGCCCAAAUGGGCUUAGCUAGUAGGUGGGGUAACGGCUCACAUAGGCGACGAUCCCUAGCUGGUCUGAGAGGAUGACCAGCCACACUGGAACUGGGACACGGUCCAGACUCCUACGGGAGGCAGCAGUGGGGAAUAUUGCACAAUGGGCGCAAGCCUGAUGCAGCCAUGCCGGGUGUGUGAAGAAGGCCUUCGGGUUGUAAAGCACUUUCAGCGGGGAGGCGUUACCCGCAGAAGAAGCACCGGCUAACUCCGUGCCAGCAGCCGCGGUAAUAC